CAGUAAUGACCAGACACAUCACACCCGCCUUCUAGAAGCCCUCCCUCACAAACCGGAUCAACUGCUAUGAUAAAGGCUCUGUGAUGCAAGCAGAGGAGAUGGUCAGCAGGCAGUCGGGCAGGGAGAGACCCAUGCUGGAGAGGGAUCUGGAAUUUCCAGUGUGUAGGUGGUGAGUGAGAAGCUGAAGAAGACAAUAAUGAUGCAGACUUUGGAAGCCAUUCUGGACUCCCUGCUUCAGGAACUGCAAGUUUGAUCUAAAGAACCCACCCAGGUAAUCACUGCUUGCUCAGAUCCCAGCAAAUUCUAGAUCCCAGAACUAGUGCUCUUAGAGCCAAGGCCAGCCGAUCCAAGUCUGGACCACUGCUCAGAUGAGCCAAGCCUGAAUUUGGGAGUGGUCGCGUUACAGAGCAUUACCCUGGCAAUAACUGACUGAUGCAGAGAUGUAAAUAGACAUCACUGGUGGAGCCCCCAGGAAAGCUCUUUAACAGAAGACAGACUCAGCUGGCAGGUUUUUUGCCCCUUUCCCUUCUCUUCCCUUGAAUGAAGACAGGCUCAAUGCUUGGAGGGGUGAGAGGAGGCAGCCGUCUUACAACCACAGGUCACAGGAAGACACUAAACAAGGCCGUGUGGAAAGACAGAAGGAGCCUCCAUCCCUCAGCACCACAGAGACAUUGUAUCAGCCUGGAAAUGCCUAAAUCUGAACUUCCUCUUACCUAAGAAAAAUAAAACCUCAAUUUGAUU
rnacentral:antisense_RNA from 1 species